rnacentral:piRNA from 1 species
UACUCUGUGGAGAAAGGAGGUGAUCUAUCCC